UACGGGGGGGGCAAGCGUUGUUCGGAAUUACUGGGCGUAAAGGGCGCGUAGGCGGUUGGAUAAGUCAGCUGUGAAAACCACGGGCUUAACUCGUGGCCUGCAGUUGAGACUGUCUAGCUUGAGUGUGGGAGAGGAGAGUGGAAUUCCUGGUGUAGCGGUGAAAUGCGUAGAUAUCAGGAGGAACACCGGUGGCGAAGGCGGCUCUCUGGACGGUGACUGACGCUGAGACGCGAAAGCGUGGGGAGCAAACAGG
rnacentral:rRNA from 1 species